rnacentral:lncRNA from 1 species
UUUGGGUUGUCGUAUGCAAUCAUCCAAUUCAAUAACGUUAGGAAAAUCUGAAGGUUAAUUUAAGCGGAACUAAUUAACUUGGGGCAUUGAGAAUUCAUGGUUUAUUGAAAAGCAAUUGGAAAUCGUUUUGUAUGCAAGUGUAACAUGUGUGGAGAUGAACCCCUUAGCUAGCCUUCCAUUCACCCAUUUAAAUCAAAUUCGUUUUUACAAUCUGUUCUAAUUUACAAAGUUUGUUUUGUUUUAAAUUCGUCCAAAACCAAUCCCCCUUUGUUUUAAAGUGUCAAAUUAGUUAGUAAGUGUUUUACUUUGUGUUUUUAAGUGUUUUGAUUCAAGUUAAAACCCAAAUUCGUCCAAUUUGGUGCUUAGUGUCCAAAACUGCCCAGAUUGUGUUUUUAAGGCAGUUUUGAGUGUUUUGGUGCUGUUUUGAGUCUUUUGGUUUGUUUUGGUGUUUUAAGUUUAGUUUUGCAUUCUUUGAGUCUAUUUUAGUGUUUUAAACUUGUUUUUACGUAUUUGAGUCAAUUCCAAGUGAUUUGGCAAUCCCUCCUAAUCCCCGGUCUAGAACGAUCCCUACUUACAUACAUUGCUACAAUUGAUAAAAAGAGGGUUAAUUUGUGUGUCAACAUAAUUUUCACAUCAUGCAUCACAGUAUGAUAAAAAUAUGUGGGACAUGAAAGUCGUUAACUAAUUGCAUAAAAAAAUGUGUAGGUGUGUGGAAAUUUUAGUUUACCCUCUCGGACUUGAGAACAGGCCCAUAUUGGUUUUGUGAAAUUAGUUUACCCUCUCGAACUUGAGAGAAGACCCAGAUGGGUGUCGGAGAAUUAGUUUAUCUUCUCGCUCUGGAAAGUAGACCCCAGAUGGGUGUUAGGUGAUAACUCAUAUAUUUCAUGCAUUUAUAGCAUCCAUUCCUAGUCUAUUUGUAACGUUUUAGAGUAAAACCAAUUGCAUUUCACCCUAUUUGUAUCAGUGUGCAGUUACAUGCAUUUUAGGAUCACUUUGAAGUCAAAAGAAGUGAAAACAUGCCAUUUUUGGGGUUGACCUUUAUUCAAACUUGGAAAGAAGUUUAUUGGCCUAUUUUAAAGCCCAAAUAAAGAACCCAAAGUGAAUCUGGCUGGUUAGAAGACCAAGAGCAGAAUGAGAAAGAAAUUGGAAUAUCUAGCCUGAUUUGGAAGAGCCAAAUAAGGAAAAACGUUCAAAACUUUGGCUUAAUGGUUGUGAUCACCUUGCAAUCACCUACAGCCCAUCUAGCAUAUAAAUAUAAGGGUUUUAGAUCACUUUUACACAAGCCCCAUUUGGGGUCGCCCAGACCUCUCUCUCUUCUCUUUCUUUGGCCUUUCUUCUAGAAACAAAACCUUAUUUCCCUUUGCCAUCUGCUGCCAUCGAAGAAACCAUGCAACCGCGCUGUUCUUGGAGAAGUUCAACAUUAGAAUUGCUUCAAGGGGGUUUCUUUUAUGAACUUUACUUUCACUCAUGUUGUUCUUGAUAUUUAUAUAUUCUGUAAUCAUGUUGUGUAAUUAAGUUCAUAGCUGGGGAAUUCGAUGUAGCCUUGCAAACAUACUCUAUGUUAUUAAGUUAAAGUAUUUUAAUUACCAAUCUAUGUUCUUGUUUCAUUCACUGAUUUUAUAGUUUAAUUUGUUUGUUAAUCAUAAUGUUUGAUCACCAUUAGGGCUGCUUAUGAAUUAUUUGAUCAAGGUUAUAGUACACAUCAUGCUUAAUCUUGGUAGACAUAUGAAUGGUUGAAGAAAUUGCUAUGCAUACAUCCUGCCAUGUGAUUUCUUUGGUUUUUUUAAGUUUUCUUGUUCUUAAUGGAUUUUUAUUUGGUAAUCUAUGUUGAACAUCACAACUAGGUUGCAUAUUAGGAGUACUUGAUCACAACCACACAUCAAAUAGAUGAUCAUAAAUAAGUAAAACGAGCCCUAAUUGAAGAUUAGAGCAAUCUAUCAUUCAUCCUUAUCUUGUCUUGCAUUUUAAUCUAAAUUCAGUUUUCAUUUUCAUUUUCAUUGCUUAGUUAGGGUUCACAUAAAACUAGUAAUUUGUAGAGUUCUAAUGAGUCCCUAUGGUUCGACACCGAUACUUGUUCCAUUAUACUAUCCUUAUAUGCACUUGAAAGGAACACAACACUAGGGAAUUAGUUUACCCUCUCACACUGCCGAACAGACCCAGAUGGGUGUCUGUUGCCGCGUACACGUCUAUAUUUUGUUACAGAAGAAGUAAUCGCAUUAAAAAAAUAAAGGCGUGCAGUAAACACGAAGAACGAAUACAAUAACCUAGAAAUAAAAAGGACAACAACCACUUAAUAUUAUGGUCUAGUGGUAUUCAUUUUCACUUGUGAGUGAGAUGUCUUAGGUUUGAUUCUCACCAAAGGCGAAUUUGAACCACAUUAUUAUAGUUAGACCAGAAGCAUAGCCCAUUCUCCACCCCAUUAGUGUAGGUAAUAUCGUUUGUUCGAAAAAAAAAAAGAAAAAAAAAUACAAAUUAAGCCUUGUUUGAUGGUUCUGUAGUUUUAAGUAUAAGCGUAGCUAGAUAAUUAAGGUGUUGUGGUCGUAGGGUGAGGCAAAAGGGGGACGGGAAGUCCCUUGGCGGGCAUGGGCAUUUGAUCAACUACGAUUUGCUCAUUGGGAACAUCCCUAAACAUGACGAACAUAAAGAACAAAAACAAGAACAUUGAGAACAUCCAUGAAAACCCAUAAGAGCUUCAUGAACAUUUUUCACCCAAAGACACCCCAAAGCCUUUUAAACUUAAGGGAAAUAAUAUAUUAACAUACUAGGGUACUUAUGGGUUCCUAAUGUCACUUUAAAAUUUUUUAAGAAGACAAACAUGAACCCAAAAAUCCACCCUAUGGAUUUGGCCAAAUUUCCACAAACAAAAGGGACCAAAUUUUAGUUCCUAAAUUAAUGCAACUUUGAACUACAUCUACAACAUUUGAGAUGACAAAUUUUCAAACAACAUUUACAUUCGAAGAAGUAAGAAUAUGCUUGUAACCAUUACAACAUUCAAAUAGAAAAACUAUGAACAAUGUUUAUACCAUAUUUAGGGCCUCGUAUUUAGACCUCGUAUAAAUACUUGGGGAACUUAAAUGUAAUUAUGUAAUAAAGGAAGGGGCAAAUAUGUAAUAAGUGAGGAGUCCUUAUUCUAUAAAAGGACCCCUCACCCUUAUAAUUAAAGGAGGCCAAUUCCUAGGCCCUCUCACCCCCUCUCAACGCUCUCACUCUCAGAGCUCUCUCUCCCUCAAAUAAAUACAACCAGUGUGGACGUAGCCCAAACCUUGGGGUGAACCACGAUAACCCUUGUGUUAUUUACAUUUCAUGAAGAUUCACGGUCGGAUUUACGUUGUUCCAAGACCUCCGAUUUUGUGCAUCAACAUUUGGCACCGUCUGUGGGAAUCGAUACGAAAAGUUGUGUCGGUUCUCUUUAAUUUUUUCACUUCCACUAUGAAUCUGCAAAAUCCAUUUCAAAUCUCCAAACACCACUCAAACACAACUCAAGAAAACCUCAACUCAUUGUUGUUUAUUUCACAAUGAACUUCUCUGCUGCUUCAAUCUCUGUCGUCCAUCACGACGUCAUCACAGUAAUAAACUCACACAUCACAGUUUACAGGGUCGCAGCUUACAGAGCCAAUCAACAAAUAUCUUUUCUUCUCUCUAAGCCCACAAUUUCAUAUGAAGCUCGUUGCUUUUCCCUCUCUCAGAUUCUCCUGCAAUUUCAAAUCUGCACUGCCUAUGCAAAUCUCUCCGACGCCGUCCUCUGCAACCCCUCCGACAUCGCAACCUGGGUCGACUCC